ensembl:lncRNA
AUUCCAAGCAUCUGCUGGGCACAUUGUUACCAGGUUCCGGUGCUGCAGCCGCCCUCCAGAGGUGCUUUCUAGGUUCUUCCUGUUCCAAACAAAGAACCGAUCAAGUCAAGCACAAAAGGUAGCAAGCUUGUACAUUUAUUAAAGGCAGGAAGGAAGCCGGCUCUGCAGAGCGAGUUUGGGCAGGGGUGAGUAGGAGACGAAGCACACCCCACAGCGUGGGCACAGGCCCCUGUGGGGGCCGCGGCACCGCAGCAGCAGGCGCAGUGGCUUCUGCCUGGUGCUGCCCGCUCCCUGGGCUGAGGCCAGGCCUAGGCCAGCCUAUCCAAUUGUGCAGUUGGGAGCUGUCCCGCGAGGGUGUCCCUGGAGCUUGCAAUUAGCAGGGCACGGCACUUUCCCCGCCAGCCUGCCGCGUUCUCUCCAGCUGCCUGGCUAUGAGGUUUCCAUCAGUGACUCACAUCUGGGUUGUCUAAAGGAGCGCAGGUCAUUAGGCUGUGAAGAGACAGGGUCAGGCCCAGUUUCCACGGUGACCGUCAUUGCUACUGGUCAGGACAGUGCGGAUACCAUGACUCCAGGAUUGGACCGUCGCUGUCCCACUUCCUGGAAAAGGAAAUACUACAUUCCAGCAGCCACCUGGACAGCCACGGAGGGGCCUACCUGAGGGCGGAGCUAACAGGACAGACGGCAGUGGAGGAGAAGCCGGGCUGCAGCCCGCAGACCACUGCCAAAGCCACCUUUCCUCUGGACUCUCACCGUGCCAUCUGCAAACACUCGGAUUUUCCAGGCCGGUUUCAUCCCGGCUUUAUUAUUGUGGCUAAAGUAAUUCCCAUCAGCCGGUGCUGUUCCCGUCUAGAGGAGGGGUCCACAGCGCCCUCGCCGGGAGACGCCGGAGCCGGUUCAUAGAGCAAGCACAUCACCCUCGCCGUGUGUCCGAGCUCGGUCUUCCCCUCAGAAGCCUGACGUCAGCGAGGCCCUUGCUCCAGUCCUCCGCAGCACGAGCCUGUGCUCCGGCUCAACAGUGGACUUGGAUAGGGAGCUAGUUUUGCAAAAAGAAGAGAGGGCGAGGAGCACUGCUACUCCUGGCUGUCUUAGCCACGCUGCCUGGCUUCCAAGGCUGGUGCUGCCAGCGGGGCCCCCUGCCCAGUGCACGAGGCACUGUGGACUCGGUCCCAGGUACGGCGGGAGCCAUGCCUCGCAGGAUACUCUGGGGCGAGUCUUGCUUGCGCUCCCAGCUGCACAGCCCUGGCCUGGUUGCUCUCCUUGCUGGUGUGUGAACAGGCCAGAGCCUUCCAAUCCUGGAGCAGCAGCUCGAGUUUCUGUGUUCACAGUGAGGCUUUCUGGCUGACCCAGACCUGCAUUGACUUAGGAGAUAUCCUUCCAAAAGAAAAUGUUCUAUUUGUCCAGCAGUAACACUGUUUACAGAGCUGCAAGCUUUACUCUUUGAUGAUAAGGAAAGUUGAGAAACACAGAUGUUUUUCACUGGCCAGUGGUACUGUCUGGGUCAGCCUCCAGCUAGCAUAAAUAAUCGAGGAGGAACACAAUGCUCUUUGAAAUAUGAAAAAUCUUUUAAGAAAUGUAUUAUUGAUGCUAUGAAAACCAAAGACGAGAUUCAGGAAUGGAAAAUAAAGAUGGUACCUGCCAUACAGGGUGUGGUGCUGUCCACUCUGGCCAACAGACAGACAAGACCUUACAGGGAAUGAACAGCUGGUCACUGGCGCGGCACUGCUCAUGGGUCGAAUGCAGUGCUUCCAGCUCUUUCCCCAAAUGGCCUGGUAGAGAACCCUGCUUCCCAUUCACCUCGCCUCAACACGGCUGCAGGGCUUCGCCCUCAGCAUUAAUCUGUGUGUAUUUGCUAGACCGGAUCGUAAACGAAUGCAGGGAAUCUAAAUGGCCCCACCUCCGACGUGGCCCGCUGUGCACUGGGCAUGGGUCUAGAUCCCGAGGGUGCCCAGGGCUGGCCCAGCAGCCAGCAGAGAAAUCCAGGUUGUGGUGGCUUCCAUAUGACAGUUCCGCCCCUGCCUGCCUGCAGCACUUUCCACCCCAGACGCCCGGUCAGCCUCCGUGCUUCCUCUGCUUCCUCUGCUCUGGCUGGGCCCCACCAUCUGCACCCCGAGUCUGGGCUGUGGUGGAGUCUUAGCAGACGUGGCGCGACUGCGGCGUGUUUUUCUGUGCAAGGUUCGCUCUGUUCACUUCUGAUGUCCAGUGUUGCUUUUUCCAGUCAUUGGCCUAAUGAGCCCUCACUUCCCGUGGACUAACUUCUGGGUGCUUCCAGGCGGCCCACGGGGACACCCUCCUGCCGGGAGAGACAUCUGUGCACUGUUCCUUUCAGCCCUGUGCUGCCCCUGGAUGAUUUUAGUGACGGUGUCACCUGCUGCCUGGGAGGGCAGAGCCGAUCCCCUGGUGUGUCCCACAGGAGGCAUUGGGCUUCUCCUUCUCACCUUUAUUUCGACAGAGACACACUGAAUCCCCAAAGUAAGUUUUGCUGAAGGUGGAAAUCUGAUAAGGUGGCAAUAAACACUGAGACUAGGAUCAUGAAACUGAGCCCUCUUAUACUCAGUCCGGCUUCCCCAUCUUCGCUUUCAACCCAUGGGGCGGCCUUUCCUCUCGCUCUGCUCUCGAGGUCUGUUUCUGCAAGUGCAGACCUCGGCGUCCUGGGACAGGAGCUGCACCCACUCCGACCCUCAGCGCUGGUCCCUGCUGCCCGAGGGCCUCCUCUCUCCAGACCUGGAUCUCGGUGUAGCCGUGAGUUACAGGGGAAGAGACGCCUCAGGGGCCCAUCCCAGCCCGGCCAGGCCUGUCUGAGGGAUUUGCCAGGCGCCAGGCCUUCUCCGAGUGCUGGUGAUAAAAAUUUAUCUCGUUCAGAAAAGAUCAUUCUUCGGCUAAGAAAAGCCAGAUCUUGCUUGCUCCGGGCAUGGCUGGACACAAGUGACGUCGUCCGAUCCUCUCUCAUUUGACAGAGCUUCCUGUUCCGUAUCCGUCUCCAUCUCUGCCCCUCCCUCUUUUUCUUCUUUUUUCUCCUUUAUUUCCCCUUCUACUGAGUCCAUCUGCAUGGAAAAUGCCUCACAUUUUGACAAAAAUGACCACCAGCAAUUUUGGAUUUAUGUUAAAUGACAGCAAUCUCAACUCAGAGAGGAAGAUGUGAUGUCUUCCCAAUGGUCCUAGGAAGGUCCCAAAGGACACUGGAUGAGCCUGGCUCCCCACCCGGCACUGAGGGUAGAGCAUGGGAUUGCCCAGGCCGGGUGACUCCCACCCCUGUGGACAUGGCUGUGGUACUGUGGGUGGCCUGACAGCUCUUGUGUUUGUGGAGCAACAAGUUCAAGGAGAGCAGGGUUGCAGGAAGGGCAGUGGUAGGAAGAGGUGAAGUGACCCAUGUUGGCCAGUGUCACUGAGGCAGGGCCCGCAGGAGCGAAGUGUCCUUCGCCACAUGACGGACGCCACGGGGAAUUUUAGUCAGAGGAGAGAUGUGAUCCUUUGUCCUCUCCUUCAAAGCCUGCCCUGGCCGGUGUGGGUGAGGCGUGGGGAGUCACAGAACACAAGAGGUGGAAGUCUCCAUUUCUAAGAACGAAUGGGUCUCUCCCUUGGCCCGCGUUCUGCUCGAGACUCAUGUGGGUGUCCACUGCGGCCUCACACAGGGCUCCUAGCAGCAGUGCUCAUACCAGCCAAGCACAGGAACAACUCGAACGCCCACCAGCUGCUGGCUGGAGACCAAGCUGUGUUCAUCCUCCAGCAACGCCUGUACAGCACAAGAGGGAAGACUCAGCAGUAACAAUGCUGGCGCCACACGAGGGUCACAUCAGCACAACAUGAAGGAGCCUGGGCGUGCAGGACCACAGCUGUGAGACCGACUCCAUCUGUGGCAUCCGGAGAGCGCAGAGCUGUGGGUGGAGACAGAAGGAAGCAGCGACCAAGAUAGCCAGGCCCAAGAAUAGGUGGCGGCUUUGUUCUCCCGAGAUGCCGUCACUGAGAGCAUUUUUAGAUGGAAGACUGGAAGCCAGAGGCACAACUCAUAAUUAUGUUGCUGUUUCUACCAGCAGUUGUUUUGUGGAAUUAAUUAAACUGUAAAAACUCUACAGUCACCACAUUACAAAAAGUCAGACGAUAAAGGCUGUGGAUGAAAUGUUCCAUGACGCGGAGUGCUGCUGCCUGGCCAGGGGCAUCUCUGUCUUUCUGCCUGGGUGACCCGGCCCCUUUCUUGGUCCCAGCCCCCGGCCGACUCUCCUCAGGGUGCUCCCGGACCACCCCUUCCUCUGACCUUGCACUGACUUCAUCUGCAACCUCCGGGGGGGUUCACCCUCCUCUCCCCUCAGCUGCAGCUUCUACCAGGUACAUCUCCCUCUUUCCAAAGCUAGCUUUGUAGUGUGUUCUUAUGCGACAUUACAAACCAGUGUGUCAGGUCCAGAUUAUCAGAGAUCUGGUAGAGAGAAGAAAGAUGCUCAUCAUCUCGAUAAAGUUACAUGCACUUUGGGGUGUUUCUUCAUUGCUUACUUUUUCCUUCAUUUACUUUAUUAAUCCGUGUUUGCAGUACAUAUGUAAUGAACACAUUCCUCAGGGGAGUUGGUACAUGAACAUAACAGAUCUUAAUUCUUUUCAUGUGCCUCCUGAUCUCUUGGGCCCCUUGCUUUUCAAUGC